AUCCAUGCAAUACAUAUAUAAUAUUUGUGCAACGAUCCGUGAGUAAUUCAAUACUUAAAAUAUGUCUGGAAGUAUGAAGUACUGAGGAAUUACAUGUGAAGAUAAGAUGUUACAGAUAAGUAUUUUCUGCCUAUGAAAAAUAGACUUAAAAGGAAUGGACACAAUACUUUGUGGUCUUUUUGACUUAUCUCUUGCAGGUGGUAUAAUUAGGUGAUAUAAUUAGUGUUAAACAGUUAUCUACUUCAACAUUAUGAAGAUGGAAAACUAUAUUUUGAAAAUUAUGAGAUGAUUGUUUUUUGUACCCAGACUUUUCCUGCGAAAGGAGCAGAUUUAUUUGUGUAUGUGCACAAUCAUUGUACGUGCAAUAUUGACUAUCGAAACAACUACUUAUAUCGUUGUAACAGUUGUAAUCUACCAAAGUAUAUAGCUGCUUUAUAUGUGGAUGGUAACAAUAUUAGCAUAACUAUUAAACAUAAUCAAUGUGGACAAAGAUAUCUUACAUCAUACAUGGUAUUUAAUGAUACAAGAAAUGAGUGGGUUCAAUCUGGAUACAUUAAUGUCAUUAAAACAAAUAUUUGAUGAUGUUUCUGGAAAGUAUGUUUAUGCUUACAUAUUUUAUGUAUUUCCAUAUAUAUUUUACACAUAUUCCUGUAUAUAUAUAUAUAAUACAAAUAUUUAUUUAUAGAUUUCCAGAGGUUGCAGCUUAAUGUUCUUUUAACAACUUAAGAUCAGUAUUACUAGAAAGAUAAGCUGGUGUAACAAGCCAUAAAUUGUGCAAUUGUUGGAUAUUUUGUACAAGCGAUUACAAACGAACCAGUCUCUAGAAUAUAUAAAAAUACAUUAUACAGGUCAGUAAUAGAGGAAGAUGCAAUAAUAUUGUCGACUGAUAUUUUAUUAAAAGAUUUUUAUGCAAAG
rnacentral:misc_RNA from 1 species